rnacentral:rRNA from 1 species
UAGGGAAUCUUCGGCAAUGGACGAAAGUCUGACCGAGCAACGCCGCGUGAGUGAAGAAGGUUUUCGGAUCGUAAAACUCUGUUGUUAGAGAAGAACAAGGACGUUAGUAACUGAACGUCCCCUGACGGUAUCUAACCAGAAAGCCACGGCUAACUACGUGCCAGCAGCCGCGGUAAUACGUAGGUGGCAAGCGUUGUCCGGAUUUAUUGGGCGUAAAGCGAGCGCAGGCGGUUUCUUAAGUCUGAUGUGAAAGCCCCCGGCUCAACCGGGGAGGGUCAUUGGAAACUGAGACUUGAGUGCAGAAGAGGAGAGUGGAAUUCCAUGUGUAGCGGUGAAAUGCGUAGAUAUAUGGAGGAACACCAGUGGCGAAGGCGGCUCUCUGGUCUGUAACUGACGCUGAGGCUCGAAAGCGUGGGGAGCAAACAGG